rnacentral:tRNA from 2 species
CGGGGCGUAGCGCAACCCGGUAGCGCACUCGCUUGGGGUGCGAGAGGUCGGAGGUUCAAAUCCUCUCGCCCCGACCA